rnacentral:rRNA from 1 species
AGACCCGAAACCCGGUGAUCUAGCCAUGGGCAGGUUGAAGGUUGGGUAACACUAACUGGAGGACCGAACCGACUAAUGUUGAAAAAUUAGCGGAUGACCUGUGGCUGGGGGUGAAAGGCCAAUCAAACCGGGAGAUAGCUGGUUCUCCCCGAAAGCUAUUUAGGUAGCGCCUCGUGAAUUCAUCUCCGGGGGUAGAGCACUGUUUCGGCUAGGGGGCCAUCCCGGCUUACCAACCCGAUGCAAACUGCGAAUACCGGAGAAUGUUAUCACGGGAGACACACGGCGGGUGCUAACGUCCGUCGUGAAGAGGGAAACAACCCAGACCGCCAGCUAAGGUCCCAAAGUCAUGGUUAAGUGGGAAACGAUGUGGGAAGGCCCAGACAGCCAGGAUGUUGGCUUAGAAGCAGCCAUCAUUUAAAGAAAGCGUAAUAGCUCACUGGUCGAGUCGGCCUGCGCGGAAGAUGUAACGGGGCUAAACCAUGCACCGAAGCUGCGGCAGCGAACGUAUCACCCAAGACAACUUUACGGAGUUGACGAUUGACGGAGCGAAGCGACGUCAAAGCGUUCAUUAAAGUCGAGUUGGCUUAGGGAUACGUUCGUUGGGUAGGGGAGCGUUCUGUAAGCCUGUGAAGGUGUGUCGUGAGGCAUGCUGGAGGUAUCAGAAGUGCGAAUGCUGACAUAAGUAACGAUAAAGCGGGUGAAAAGCCCGCUCGCCGGAAGACCAAGGGUUCCUGUCCAACGUUAAUCGGGGCAGGGUGAGUCGACCCCUAAGGCGAGGCCGAAAGGCGUAGUCGAUGGGAAACGGGUUAAUAUUCCCGUACUUGGUGUUACUGCGAAGGGGGGACGGAGAAGGC